GGUAACUGCUGGCCGUUCCGUGGUUCCUCGGGGGUCCUGGUGCUCCGUCUCUCCUCUCGGGUUCUUCCUUCAGCGUUCUCCUUAGAACAUCUCCCAAAGAACUUGUCUCCAACGGAGAGUCUCCACAGCGCUCCCAAGGACUUCAGAGUCUAUGGUCUGAGGGAAGAAGAAGAGGAGGAGGGGAUACUUCUGGGGACAUAUGAGUAUGACCAGGAUGGAGAAUCUCUACAGACCUACACCACAACUGAAGAAAACCAUGAACCGUUCCAGAUCAUUCUUGUUAAGUUCUUGUCAAACUGGGGUCACGAGGAAUACACCUGCAUUUACCGC